AUUGAACGCUGGCGGCAGGCCUAACACAUUCAAGUCGAGCGGCGCGGCGUACGGGUGAGUAAUGCCUAGGAAUCUUCCUGGUAGUUGCUGAUAACGUCCGGAAACGUGCGCUAAUACCGCAUACUAUCACAUCAGCCUAGGUCGGAUUAGCUAGUUGGUGGGGUAAAGGCCUACCAAGGCGACGAUCCGUACCUGGUCUGAGAGGAUGAUCAGUCAAACGGGAACUGAGACACGGGCCAGACGCCGACGGGAGGCAGCAGUGGGGAAUAUUGGACAAUGGGCGAAAGCCUGAUCCAGCCAUGCCGCGUGUGUGAAGAAGGUCUUCGGAUUGUAAAGCACUUUAAGUUGGGAGGCGUUACCAACAGAAUAAGCACCGGCUAACUGCGUGCCAGCAGCCGCGGUAAUUC
rnacentral:rRNA from 1 species